CCCAUAUUGUGACUGGCUUGUAGGCGUGUUGGUAACUUGUAUGAAGGUCUGGUUAUGAAAUGGGUACAUAGUUAAAUAGUAAUUAUCCUCUAAAACGCUCUGGGGACAAACAAACUUUACUGCCCUAUUUCCAAUUGUCCACAUGGCUGGGAGAACCUGUUCAAGUUUUUUGUCCUCAAAUAAAGAGCUGUGAAACCUGUCUACAUAUGAAGAGGUCCCAAUGAAGAGCAGUGGUUCCUGGGGACUCAAAGGGGUGCACAUAUUUGUUUUUGCCUUAGCACUGCACAGCUGAUUCAAAUGAUCAACUCAUCAUCAAGCUUCAAGUGGUACUUAUGUAUUCAUUUGUGAUGCUAUCCUUAAUAUGAUCCUGUUAUUGUCACAUGCUACAUAUGUGUGCCCAUGGAUCUAUCUAUCCAAUGUUAUCAUGAUUUGUUAUCAGGAAUGUUAUACUUUAGUAAUUCACAAUGAUCUGGUGAUGUAAAAGUCUAAUAAUUAGAUUGUCUUCCAUAUUCCUACAGAUGCUUUGUAACUGGAGAUUCCUUCAAAACGAUUGCCUACAGUUAACGUGUAGGGCACUGCAAGGAUGGGUGACCAGGGCCAUCUAGGACUGCCUGCUGGAGGAAUUCAGUUGGGUGAAGGCUACCUGUGUCCUGUAUAACUUUGGGGUGGCAGGUAGCCUAGUGGUUAGAGCAUUGGACCAGUAACCAAAAGGUUGCUAGAUCAAAUCCCUCGUGCUGCCCCUGAACAAGGCAGUUACCCACUGUUCCUAGGCCAUCAUUAUAAAUAAUAAUUUAUUCUUAACUGGCUUGCCUAGUUAAAUAAAGGUUCACUAACAAAAUAACUUAAUGAGGAUGGACACGAGGCUCUGCAGGAUGUUUCAAGGAUGGGGUCCGGCAACGCAGCAAGACUGAGAUCUUCACCUCCUACUUCUUCGAAGAGGGUGCUGUUCCCUGGCAACUCCAUAGACUAUGCACAACCAAAUGCUCUUUUAAGAGUCAUUCACAUUGCAAUAACAGUGUUCUUCCAUUUACUUACUGCAGUUAUUCAAUUCCCAGUUUCUCUCCCUUUGAUUUCUACUUCUCAGGUGAGGGUGCUGUUUAGGUAAGGGUGUGAUGUCUGUACAAAAAUAAAACAGCCAUUUCAAAUCACUCAUAUUGAAAAUAUGUAGAACAAUUAGACACUCUAUAACCCACACCUACACACAUGUAUCAAUCUGAUUGAUUGAUUGUGUUGCUCAGGUGUAUAACUGGCUCCUUCCACCUUGAAAGAAUAGGCAAGAUGGCCAACCAUGGAGAAUAGCAAGACACUUCAUUAUUUCUAUAACUACGCUAUAUUGUUUGUCCUCGUGUGUCCGUUCAUGUUUUUCAGCAUAAAGUACUCUGCAGCCGCUUAGUGUGGUGUGGACACCAGGUGAGGCCACACACACAGAUUACUGUUCAACACUGUGUUUAACUACCUUAUUUUCACAAUCAGUCUCUCUCCACUUCAUCCCUUUCUCCUCUUCUCCACAAAUCCUCUAGGUUAUAUCAGCUGUGUCAGUGAACCCCUCCUGCAUCUGAACUGGCUACAUAGAAUUGUAAUUAGUGUUUAAUGUUUUACGGACUCCUGAGAGAACCAGCAAACCAGGCUGUAGUCUUGUGAAACAGUGGAUGUAAAGAAUCUAGCUAGCUUAAGCAUUUACUGCUAAUUUUAAUGUAUAAUUUUGGAAGCUUGCCUUGCUGAUAUUUGCCAUGCAAUGCAGCUGGAGUAACGUAGCUUACUAUUUUCUUGCUUAUUGUGUAGUGGAGGAUAAAAAAAUACCUGUAUAGCUAGCUAUGUAGCUGAUCUGUGGAGGGAACCUUAAAUAUUAGGCCAGAACCUAGCUAUCAUAGCCGGUUGUAUCGACUUAAAACAUUAAUGGCAUUAAUAAAGCCUUUGGAUAGAGUAUAAAAUAACUUUAUUGUGCCAAGGAUGCAAGUUGUAAAUACAUGUAGUUAUUACCAAGCAUUAGAUCCCCACAUUGUAGCCUGUAAUUUUAAUAUAUUCACUGAUCAUGUACUCUACCUUGGCAAAUAAAGAGCGAGAUCGCAUUAUUAA